rnacentral:rRNA from 1 species
GGUGAACGCUGGCGGCGUGCCUAACACAUGCAAGUCGAGCGGUGCAGUUUGAAGCUUCGGUGGAAAGCUGCAUAGCGGCGGACGGGUGAGGAAAACGUAGGAACGUGCCCCUUGGGAGUUGGAUAGCCACGGGAAACUGUGGGUAAACCGACAUAGACUCGAGAGAGUAAAGGCCGAAAGGCGCCAAGGGAGCGGCCUGCGGCCCAUCAGGUAGUUGGUAGUGUAAAGGACUACCAAGCCGACGACGGGUAGCCGGUCUGAGAGGAUGGCCGGCCACAAGGGCACUGAGAGACGGGCCCUACUCCUACGGGAGGCAGCAGUGGGGGAUUUUGGACAAUGGGCGAAAGCCUGAUCCAGCGACGCCGCGUGGAGGACGAAGCCCUUCGGGGUGUAAACUCCUUUUCUCAGGGAAAAAGGAUGAUGGUACCUGAGGAAUAAGCCCCGGCUAACUACGUG